GACGAACGCUGGCGGCGUGCCUAAUACAUGCAAGUAGAACGCUUAAGGAGGAGCUUGCUUCUCUGGAUGAGUUGCGAACGGGUGAGUAACGCGUAGGUAACCUGCCUGGUAGCGGGGGAUAACUAUUGGAAACGAUAGCUAAUACCGCAUAAGAGUAGAUGUUGCAUGACAUUUGCUUAAAAGUUGCAAUUGCAUCACUACCAGAUGGACCUGCGUUGUAUUAGCUAGUUGGUGGGGUAACGGCUCACCAAGGCGACGAUACAUAGCCGACCUGAGAGGGGGAUCGGCCACACUGGGACUGAGACACGGCCCAGACUCCUACGGGAGGCAGCAGUAGGGAAGCUUCGGCAAUGGACGGAAGUCUGACCGAGCAACGCCGCGGGAGUGAAGAAGGGUUUCGGAUCGUAAAGAUCUGUUGUAAGAGAAGAACGAGUGUGAGAGUGGAAAGUUCACACUGUGACGGUAUCUUACCAGAAAGGGACGGCUAACUACGUG
rnacentral:rRNA from 1 species